CGUCAAGUCCUCAUGGCCUUUAUGACCAGGGCGUACACACGUACUACAAUGGACAGGUACAAAGGGCAGCCACUUAGCGAUAAGGAGCGAAUCCCGUAAAACCUGUCUCAGUCCGGAUUGGAGUCUGCAACUCGACUCCAUGAAGUUGGAAUCGCUAGUAAUCGCAGAUCAGCACGCUGCGGUGAAUACGUUCCCGGGCCUU
rnacentral:rRNA from 1 species